GGCGCUGGAACACGUAGAGAGUGAAUUCCUCAAGUGAAGGCAUCAGGUGAGGCAGCAAAGAGGGGCGUGAGGUUCAGGGUAUGGUGGCCAGUAAGGGCCAAGUGUAGGUCGCAGGGAAGGAGGCAGAAGGGUGGAGCGAAGACCGGGAGAAAAUCAGAGGAGACAGCCUCAGUGGGCGCCGGUACACGUGGACACCGAGCCCCCCAUCCCGUGAGCUCAUGCGCCCUAUGCCAAGG
rnacentral:lncRNA from 1 species